CUCAGAUAUAAAUACCUCUAAUUCAUCCAAAACUUCUCUGUUUUCAUUAAUUCCCCAAUAUCAAUAGAACCUCAGCAACACCCAACUCCUUCACAGCAACUCUCUCACAACCUCAUUUCUAUAUCAACACUUCUAUAUCAGCAUUUCUACUUCUCCAUAUCAGGACCUUUGUGCUUUCUUCUUCUCUUCUAGUGGAGAAAAGGAAUCAUGGCAAGAGGAAAGAGAGGGAGGAGGGGAAGAAGAAAUGUUAAUGAAAAUCUGUUGAUUAGCUGCCCCAGGGUAUAUAACCCUUACCAGGAAAGAUGGAUCAGAGCUUGGUGUUAUCUAUGUGACACAAAAUUCAAAGAUGUAAAGGGUCUCACCUCACAUCGAACCGCUAUACAUUCAAAAUAUACUUUUUUCUGUGUUAAGUGUAAUCAGAGUUUUGAAACUGAAGCCUCAGCCCAAGAUCAUAUCCUUGAGGUGCCACAGGACAGAGUGAAUGUAUUUAGGGAGAUUGGGUUACUACCUUGAUCUAUGACCAGUUUUUAGCCUCUGAGGUGCCACAGGAAAGAGUGGAUGAAUUUAGGGAGAUUGGGUUAGUACUUGGACCAGUUUUUAUCCUCUGAAAGACAGCAGAAAAUACUGUCAAAUUCUGAUCAUAUGCUUUGUCUUCUUCAUUGUUGUUGCUGUUCUCUCUUUGAGUACUAUGAAACUUCAGAUUCCUAAUUGAAUGUCUAAAUACUGUCUUGUGAAUUGAUCUCUGCAAAAGAAGGUUAACUGUUCCUAGAUAAAUAUGUUGUUACAAAGAUGCUAU